rnacentral:rRNA from 1 species
AGUGAACGCUGGCGGUAGGCCUAACACAUGCAAGUCGAACGGCAGCACAGUAAGAGCUUGCUCUUACGGGUGGCGAGUGGCGGACGGGUGAGGCAUACAUCGGAAUCUACUUUUUCGUGGGGGAUAACGUAGGGAAACUUACGCUAAUACCGCAUACGACCUACGGGUGAAAGCAGGGGAUCUUCGGACCUUGCGCGAUUGAAUUAGCCGAUGUCGGAUUAGCUAGUUGGCGGGGUAAAGGCCCACCAAGGCGACGAUCCGUAGCUGGUCUGAGAGGAUGAUCAGCCACACUGGAACUGAGACACGGUCCAGACUCCUACGGGAGGCAGCAGUGGGGAAUAUUGGACAAUGGGCGCAAGCCUGAUCCAGCCAUACCGCGUGGGUGAAGAAGGCCUUCGGGUUGUAAAGCCCUUUUGUUGGGAAAGAAAAGCAGCAGGUUAAUACCCCGCUGUUCUGACGGUACCCAAAGAAUAAGCACCGGCUAACUUCGUG